rnacentral:rRNA from 1 species
UACAGAGGCCCCAAGCAUUAUCCGGAAUCACUGGGCGUAAAGGGUGUGUAGGCGGCGUUGUUAGUCUUUCGUGAAAGGUCUCUGGCUUAACUAGGGAACCGCGGGAGAAACGGCAAUGCUUCGAGGAUGCGAGAGGUAAAGGGAACUCAAGGUGUAGGGGUGAAAUCCGUUGAUAUCUUGGGGAACACCAAAUGCGAAGGCACUUUACUGGCGCCCUCCUGACGCUGAAACACGAAAGCGUGGGAAUCGAACGGG